AAGUCGUAACAAGGUUUCCGUAGGUGAACCUGCGGAAGGAUCAUUACUGAAUUGUCAACAAGAGUUGUUGCUGGUCCUCAAGCGGGGGCAUGUGCACGCUCUGUUAACACAUCCACUCACACCCUGUGCACCCUCUGUAGUUCUGUGGUUGGGGGCCUUGUCCUCCUGCUGUGGUUCUGCAUCUUUUACACACACACUGUAACAAAGUCUCAUGGAAUGCAUCUGCGUUUAACGCAAUACAAUACAACUUUCAGCAACGGAUCUCUUGGCUCUCGCAUCGAUGAAGAACGCAGCGAAAUGCGAUAAGUAAUGUGAAUUGCAGAAUUCAGUGAAUCAUCGAAUCUUUGAACGCACCUUGCGCCCUUUGGCCAUUCCGAAGGGCAUGCCUGUUUGAGUAUCAUGAACACCUCAACUCUUCAUGGUUUUCCGUGAUGAGCUUGGACUUUGGGGGUUUUGCUGGCCUGUGGUCGGCUCCUCUAAAAUGAAUCAGCUUGCCAGUGUUUGGUGGGCAUCACAGGUGCGAUAACUAUCUACGCUUGUGGUUUUCCACCAGGGUAACCUUCGGCAGUGGAGGUUCGCUGGAGCUCAUAGAUGUCUCUCCUCAGUGAGGACGGCCCUUUGAAUGUUUGAUCUCAAAUCAGGUAGGACUACCCGCUGAACUUAAGCAUAUCAAUAAGCGGAGGAAAAGAAACUAACAAGGAUUCCCCUAGUAACUGCGAGUGAAGCGGGAAGAGCUCAAAUUUAAAAUCUGGCGUGCCUCUGGUCGUCCGAGUUGUAGUCUGGAGAA
rnacentral:misc_RNA from 1 species